CAGAGUAGAGCAGCUGCUUCUCUGCCAUCAAAAAGAGCCAUUUGAGGUGGUUCAAGCAUCUGGUGAGGAUGGCCCCUGGCCGUUUCCCUAGGGAGACAAUCAGUUUGUGU